rnacentral:rRNA from 1 species
GUGUCAGCAGCCGCGGUAAUACAGAGGGUGCGAGCGUUGUCCGGAAUCACUGGGCGUAAAGGGCGCGUAGGCGGCUUUUCAAGCGUGCGGUGAAAGCUCGGGGCUUAACUCCGAGUCUGCCGUGCGAACUGGGAGGCUUGAGUCUGGUAGAGGUCGAUGGAAUUCCGGGUGUAGCGGUGGAAUGCGUAGAGAUCCGGAAGAACACCGGUGGCGAAGGCGGUCGACUGGGCCAGUACUGACGCUGAGGCGCGACAGCGUGGGGAGCAAACAGGAUUAGAUACCCCCGUAGUCC